GACGAACGCUGGCGGCGUGCUUAACACAUGCAAGUCGAACGGAAAGGCUCCAGCUUGCUGGCGUACUCGAGUGGCGAACGGGUGAGUAACACGUGGGUAAUCUGCCCUGCACUCUGGGAUAAGCCUGGGAAACUGGGUCUAAUACUGGAUAUGACCUUUCUCCUUAUGGGGUUUGGUGGAAAGUUUUUCGGUGUAGGAUGAGCCCGCGGCCUAUCAGCUUGUUGGUGGGGUGAUGGCCUACCAAGGCGACGACGGGUAGCCGGCCUGAGAGGGUGAUCGGCCACAUUGGGACUGAGAUACGGCCCAGACUCCUACGGGAGGCAGCAGUGGGGAAUAUUGCACAAUGGGCGGAAGCCUGAUGCAGCGACGCCGCGUGAGGGAUGACGGCCUUCGGGUUGUAAACCUCUUUCAGCAGGGACGAAGCGUAAGUGACGGUACCUGCAGAAGAAACACCGGCUAACUAUGU
rnacentral:rRNA from 1 species